UACGUAGGGGGCAAGCGUUAUCCGGAUUUACUGGGUGUAAAGGGAGCGUAGACGGCAGGGCAAGUCUGGAGUGAAAGGCAGGGGCCCAACCCCUGGACUGCUCUGGAAACUGUCCGGCUGGAGUGCAGGAGAGGUAAGUGGAAUUCCUAGUGUAGCGGUGAAAUGCGUAGAUAUUAGGAGGAACACCAGUGGCGAAGGCGGCUUACUGGACGGUGACUGACGCUGAGGCUCGAAAGCGUGGGGAGCAAACAGG
rnacentral:rRNA from 1 species